AUUGAACGCUGGCGGCAGGCCUAACACAUGCAAGUCGAACGGUAACAGGAAGAAGCUUGCUUCUUUGCUGACGAGUGGCGGACGGGUGAGUAAUGUCUGGGAAACUGCCUGAUGGAGGGGGAAAACUACUGGAAACGGUAGCUAAUACCGCAUAACGUCGCAAGACCAAAGAGGGGGACCUUCGGGCCUCUUGCCAUCGGAUGUGCCCAGAUGGGAUUAGCUAGUAGGUGGGGUAACGGCUCACCUAGGCGACGAUCCCUAGCUGGUCUGAGAGGGUGACCAGCCACACUGGAACUGAGACACGGUCCAGACUCCUACGGGAGGCAGCAGUGGGGAAUAUUGCACAAUGGGCGCAAGCCUGAUGCAGCCAUGCCGCGUGUAUGAAGAAGGCCUUCAGGUUGUAAAGUACUUUCAGCGGGGAGGAAGGGAGUAAAGUUAAUACCUUUGCUCAUUGACGUUACCCGCAGAAGAAGCACCGGCUAACUCCGUG
rnacentral:rRNA from 1 species